GGUUAAUAUUCCUGUACUUGGUGUUACUGCGAAGGGGGGACGGAGAAGGCUAUGUUAGCCGGGCGACGGUUGUCCCGGUUUAAGCAUGUAGGCGGAGAGUUUAGGUAAAUCCGGACUCUUUUUAACGCUGAGGUGUGAUGACGAGGCACUACGGUGCUGAAGUAACAAAUGCCCUGCUUCCAGGAAAAGCCUCUAAGCAUCAGGUAACACGAA
rnacentral:rRNA from 1 species